GAUGAACGCUGGCGGCGUGCCUAAUACAUGCAAGUCGAGCGAACAGACGAGGAGCUUGCUCCUCUGACGUUAGCGGCGGACGGGUGAGUAACACGUGGAUAACCUACCUAUAAGACUGGGAUAACUUCGGGAAACCGGAGCUAAUACUGGAUAAUAUAUUGAACCGCAUGGUUCAAUAGUGAAAGACGGUUUUGCUGUCACUUAUAGAUGGAUCCGCGCCGCAUUAGCUAGUUGGUAAGGUAACGGCUUACCAAGGCAACGAUGCGUAGCCGACGUGAGAGGGGGAUCGGCCACACUGGAACUGAUGCGCGGUCCAGACGCCUACGGGAGGCGGCAGUAGGGAAUCUUCCGCAAUGGGCGGAAGCAUGACGGAGCAGCGCCGCGUGAGUGAUGAAGGUCUUCUGAUCGUAAAGCUCUGUUAUUAGGGAAGAACAAAUGUGUAAGUAACUAUGCGCGUCUUGACGGUACCUAGUCAGAAAGCCACGGCUAACUACGUG
rnacentral:rRNA from 1 species